GUUUCCGGAAAUCGGAUAGUCUCCACUAAUCCUUUGCUUUGACACCAAAUAUCACAAAGCCCUCGGAUUCCAAGGAUUGUAUGAUUCAAAUAAAUAUGCAUAAAUCACAAGAAGUGAAGAUUGAGAUCAUAUCUCAACUGUAAAAGAGAUCAGAUCUCUUACCUUUAGAAGGAGGUUCCUUCAAGGAUGCUUCGCAGCCGCACAAGCUUCCGGCCUCGAUGACUCGUCCACGCGAGGCUCCGGAAUGAUCAGCUUUCCGGGAAGUGCUAGCUCGCAGGGAAGCAGCAGGAUGGCUGAAAGGUAGAAGAAGGAAGAAGAUGGACCUUCACAGCUCAAGAACUCCUUUUUGGGCUUUCACCUUCAGAGCUACUCUCUCCUCUCACUCUCUUUCUCUGAUGCUUUUGAUGUGUAGAGAAGAAGAAAGAGGGGUGGCCUAUUUAUAGGCCAAGAAGAGGGUGAGGUGUUCCUAUGAGGUGUCCGAUGAGGUGUCCUGCCAGGACACAUGUCACACAUGCAAGAAAAAGAGGUGUCCUGCUCCGUCACAUGUCACGCAUGCAAAGGGGUGAGGUGGCCUGGAGGGCGAUGUUAUGGAU
rnacentral:lncRNA from 1 species